ACAGGUGGCCAAAAUGAUGAAGAAGGCAAAUGGAAUAUUUGCUUUUAGCAGCCUGGGCAUGGAGUACAAGAGUAGCAAAACAUGUUGGAGCUAUACAAAACCCAUGUUAGGUCGCAUUUGGAGUAAAGUGUGCGGUGUUGGUCACCAUACUACCAGAAGGACGUGGAAGCUUUGCAGAUAGUGUAGAAAUGGUUCACCAGGAUGUUGUCCGGUCUCGAGGACAUUGACGAUGAGGAUAGGUUAAAACGCCUUGGAUUGUUUACACUGGAAAGACGGCGACUGAGAGGAGACCUGAUAGAGGCCUACAAAAUUAUGAGAUGCACAGAUAAGGUAGAUAAUCGGGUGUCCCCCGCCCCAGGGUUGAAUUUUCAAUUACAAGGGCGCACAGAUGCAAUGUGAGAGGGGGAAAUUUUAAGGGAGAUGUACGACGGAGGAUUUCAACAACUGGUAGGAGCCUGGAACACACUGCCAGAAGACGUGGUGGAAGCAGGCACAUUGGCGAUAUUUAAGGGGCAUCUAGAUGGUUCGGUGAAUAGGGAGGGAAUAAGGAAUACGGACCGAAUAAGUGUAGAAGGUUUUUUUUUGGUUUUAGUCAGGGUAUGAUGAUCAGCACAGGCUUGGAGGGUCAAGGGCCUGUUCCUGUGCUGGUCUUCUCUUUUAUUCUAUUGUUCUUUGUCUAGUGUGUUUCAGAAGAGAACAAUGUUCGGGUCUUUGCUAUCUGUGGUAGAUUACAGGAAAAUAUGGACGGGUUGCUCAUGUGGGCUGAUCAAUGGUAAAUAGAAUUUGAUCCAGAUAACUGAAACGUGAUGUAUUUGGACAGGGCAAACAAGGAGCUAGAGGACGUAAUGAACAGUAAAUCAUUAGGAAGCACACGGAACAGAAAAAUCUCAUUGUGCGUGCACACCAGUCCUUUAAGAUAUCAGAACAGUUCGAUAAAGUGGUUCAGAAGGCAUUUGGGACAAUUGUCGAUACAAUGUGGAGCUGGAGGAACACAAUAGGUCACGCGGCAUCAGAGGAGCAGGAAAAUGGAUGUUUCGUGCUGGGACCCUUCGUCAGGACCAUGAGACAAUUGCCAUCAUUAGCUGAUGAAUAAACUUUAGAUUCAUAGAGUUUAUGCUGGAAUUAUAUAAGGCGUUGUUUAGACAACAGACAAAAUGUUGGGCACAGUUCUGGAAGCCGUAUUAAAUGAGGGAUUUGAUUGCACUGGAAAGGGUACUUAAGAGAUUUUCUCGCAUUUUGCCAGGACUUGACAGUUUCACUCAUGAGGACAGAUUGGAUAGCGUUGUUUCUCUUGGAGUAGAGGAGAUCGAUGGGACCAGACCCUGGGGCGGGGUCCCCACCAUGUUCUCCUGCAGGAGGGUGGAGUCCUGCGCAUUUCCAAGACCCUCCAUCCCGGGUGGCGGCGUCGAAAGACCUAGGUCGACUCAGAACCACAUCUGAGGAAGUGUUUGACUGGCCCAGUGAAACUGUCUCCAGUUCGGAGGCGGCAGGCGCCGAAGUGGCUGAACCAAUGACAGUAGAGCAGAAGCAAAUUGCUAGGACCCGAGGCACGAUGUGGAAGGAUAGAGACUGAAGGAGCAGAACGGGUGAAGUCUCCUGAGAGGGCAAGAGAAAUUGCUGAAGCUCUUUCAGUAAUAUUAAUUUCAAUCGAAUCUUACUUCGAUCAUUCUAAGGAUUCUGGGAUUUCACUUCAGAUGUGAAUUCAGGAUGUUGCAGAAGAUUCUUUUCAAUGAAAAGCAAAACAAAAUGCCAGCAUGUCACUACAUUACCUUAUUUGCGUCAAUUAGUAGAAUUUUUAAAAAAAAUCAAAUGAACUAUUUAUCUCUCUGGAGACUACCAUUGUGCAUAAAUUCACAUUCAGAAUGGCAAAACAGUUCCUGGUAGAAAUACACGGGACACCAAAAGGUCUGCUGUUUGUCAUUUACUGUCCCGUCAUUAUAGCUGUCGGGCUUCCAGGUAAUACAUUCAUUUACGGUGAAGGGAAUCACUGUGAGCUGUAUCAAUAUUCCAAGUUCAGGCAAGGCAUCUUUAUUUCAACGGUAUUAAAUCUUCUAAGUUCACUGCAGGGCAUUAUUUCCCGUCUUAAGUUUGAGAAUAUAUGCCUGGAAAGACUAAUCUCUCUCUUUGAACAGAUUUUAUUUUCAAAUUUAACAAUAUAUGUCCGCACUUCUACAAACAAAAUUUGUAAUUUUGCCACAGAUUCUCCCCUUUAGCAGUGCCAUUACUUCACUUUAUCUGAAUCAUGUGCUUGUUCCAUGCAUUAUAUUAGCUUUUCGGUGUGUAUAACAUUCUUUUAGUUCCGAAGAAUGUUCACCAGGCCCAAAACAUUAACUCUGCAUUCUCUCUCCGGAUGUUGCGAGACUUGUUGAGUUUUUCCAACAAUUUCUGAUUUUUUUACGUUCUUUUAUUUUAUUGAGACUGUAAAUCUGGAUCAAUAUGUACGCAACCAUCAGGUUGUAGAUCUUACUAUAUUAUGGCGUUUGCACGUUUUCUUGGAGAGAAAGUAUUACAGUGAUAUUAUGUUGUGAGUGCAUUUAAAUUGUUAAAUCUCCUUUGGGUGAUUGGUUACACUGUUUUCAUGGUCCAUGGAUGUUGACAGUAUCAAUAGAUUACGCAUAAACGAAUAACUGGUUAAACAAAGAAGCUAAAUAUUAUCCAAUUAUUAUAAGAUACAAUUAAUUGGAUAAACAUUAUUUCACAUUUUUAACACGUGCCAAAUGAUGACCACAAUAAUUAGAUUUGUUCUUGAAUGAUUUCUAUUUCUUCCUGAACGGAAUUGUGCAGCUUUUCUGCCUUCAGUCGCUGAAAUAGCUUUGUCUCCUCCGUUCCCUUCUUCCUCUUUACUUGCUUAUGACGGGUCCAUAGUAACACCUGCUGUAUCAUUCUUUCCUUCCUCUUUCUACUCUCCGAAAAUGCAUUGCACUCUACCUUUAUUGUUUCUUUUUUUUUUUCACUGAGAAAGACACAAAUUGGCAUAGCUUCUCGUUUUGCAUUGAUAAGGACAAUUCGCAAGACAUACCAACAUAAAUUGUAAACAUUUAUACUGCAUGAGAAGAGAAUGUGUUUGUCUGCAAAUGAAUGAUAACUGGGAAAAUGUCUUUCAGCAAUAUUCUGUUCAGCCUACAAAAUAACCAUAUAUUUCCUUCACUGUUUUUAAUAUACACAGUCUGACAGCAUAAUUUCAUUGUCCAGCAUAUAAUAAUUACCAUGACAAUUAUCGUUAAUUCCAACAAUUCAGAAUAAUGCUGCGGAGGUAUUGCAUAGCAGCAGAUCAACGACUAAUUUCUCUGAAUGGGAAUCACAAUCAGAGAGUUCGAAUCCAUCGUUUUGGAUGAGUUAGAUAUUCCCUAAGCAUUUCAUUUGCAAUCAGAUGACCUUAGAGUUAUGUCAGUCUGAUAGGUAGAAUCCUUUCUGCAACGUGUAAAAAAAAAGUCAGUUCUCUUCUCUGAAUUGCAAGCCAU